rnacentral:rRNA from 1 species
GGAGACAGGUGCUGCAGUGGCUGUCGUCAGCUCGUGUCGUGAGAUGUUGGGUUACGUCCCGCAACGAGCGCCAACCCUACGCUGAGUUACCAGCACGUAAAGGUGGGGACUCUCAGUGGACUGCCGGCGACAAGCCGGAGGAGGGUGGGGACGACGUCAAGUCAUCAUGGCCCUCAUGUCCAGGGCGACACACGUGCUACAAUGGCCGGCACAACGGGAAGCGACGGCGCGAGUCGUAGCGGAUCCCUCAAAGCCGGUCCCAGUUCGGAUUGCAGUCUGCAACUCGACUGCAUGAAGCCGGAAUCGCUAGUAAUCGUGGAUCAGCCAAGCCGCGGUGAAUACGUUCCCGGGCCUU